rnacentral:rRNA from 1 species
UACGUAGGGUGCGAGCGUUAAUCGGAAUUACUGGGCGUAAAGCGUGCGCAGGCGGUUUUGUAAGCCAGAUGUGAAAUCCCCGGGCUCAACCUGGGAAUGGCAUUUGGGACUGCAAGGCUUGAGUUUGGCAGAGGAGACUGGAAUUCCUGGUGUAGCAGUGAAAUGCGUAGAUAUCAGGAGGAAUACCGAUGGCGAAGGCAGGUCUCUGGGCUGAUAACUGACGCUCAUGCACGAAAGCGUGGGGAGCAAACGAAGG